GAUGAACGCUGGCGGCGUGCCUAAUACAUGCAAGUCGAGCGAACAGACGAGGAGCUUGCUCCUCUGACGUUAGCGGCGGACGGGUGAGUAACACGUGGAUAACCUACCUAUAAGACUGGGAUAACUUCGGGAAACCGGAGCUAAUACCGGAUAAUAUAUUGAACCGCAUGGUUCAAUAGUGAAAGACGGUUUUGCUGUCACUUAUAGAUGGAUCCGCGCCGCAUUAGCUAGUUGGUAAGGUAACGGCUUACCAAGGCAACGAUGCGUAGCCGACCUGAGAGGGUGAUCGGCCACACUGGAACUGAGACACGGCCCAGACUCCUACGGGAGGCAGCAGUAGGGAAUCUUCCGCAAUGGGCGAAAGCCUGACGGAGCAACGCCGCGUGAGUGAUGAAGGUCUUCGGAUCGUAAAACUCUGUUAUUAGGGAAGAACAAAUGUGUAAGUAACUAUGCACGUCUUGACGGUACCUAAUCAGAAGGCCACGGCUAACUACGUG
rnacentral:rRNA from 1 species